rnacentral:tRNA from 1 species
AAAGGGAGACCUAAUUCAGGUAGGAGACGAAAAAAAAGUAGUCCCUACCAGGAAUCAAUCCCAAAAGGUCGGAGCGAGGCGAAAUUAGCUUUCAAACUAGGUUCUGGGUUCAAACAAGACCUGAAUCAGGAACAAGGGCUAUUAGCUCAGGUGGUUAGAGCGCACCCCUGAUAAGGGUGAGGUCCCUGGUUCGAGUCCAGGAUGGCCCACCUGCACAGGUGGCAAAAACAAGAGAAGCGAGGAAUCAGCACCUUAUCUUACUGACAUAGUAAGAGAGAAUGCUGGCUCUGAGUAAAGAGUCCAGAGGAACCUUGAAAACUGCAUAGAGCUAGGUGAAAAAGCCAAAAAAGAAGACCGCAAG